UAUAUUAAAAAAAAAAAAGAAAAAUAACAAGGAUAAGUAUCCUAAUUUUUUUUAUUGGGUAAGUUAUUUCAGUGGUGCUUUGGGUACAUAGGUUUGAUCAGCAGACUUUAUUUUAUCCUGAAUUACUAAAAUUUAUUUUCAUUGUUACAUAUAACUGUUCUCUUUUGCAAGCUAAUUUAGUCUGCUUUUCUCUCCCUUUUCUAGUUAAUGAAACUGAAAAUAUGCCCAUUGCAAUCUACUUCAACUUUUAACAUUAUUUCUGAUUGAUGUACAUCUUUUCUUUCAUAUUUCAUAUAAUUCAGUAUACGAGAGUAAGGAUAUCUCAGCUGAUGAUAUUGAUGUUGACUUAGCAGGUAGGAUUUUCUUGUCCAUUCAGAGCUUUUAGAUUAAUCACCUUUUUUCUUGGAGGUGCACAUGUAUUUUGGAUGAUAUUUAUAAUAUUACUUCCAUGCUCUUUGCAAUGCUUACAUGGAAUAAUGAUUGGGAUUAAUGUUGGGAAUCUAAGUCUCACAUCGGGAAUAAACAAAAAUUAAAGGGUAAAUACAAGUAGUUCGAUUGCAACAUUGACUUGGCUAAUCAUUUUGAUAUGUAAAGUAACUCAAUCAUUUAUAUAAACUCUAAUUAAAAUGAAUUAAUGCAUAAUCUGAUCAGCACUCUAUCCGAAUUUAACAAUUAAACUAUUGAUAACAUUUAACUUUUGAUAUGGGGCCUUAUAAAUUGUUUGAUUUUUUCCAUUUAAACAUUCAUCUAAAAUGUAUUACUUGUUAUGCUUGGAUAUCAGUUGUUAUUAUUUGUUUUAUUGACCUCCUUUCAGCACAAUUUCUUGAAUUUUUUAAUGAAAAACUAACUUUAGGUGAUAACACAAUGCAUUUGGCUAAGCAUUUAAAUAGCUAUGGAGUUUGUUUGAACCAAAGUUCAGUUAAUUUUGUGGAUGGAAUUAUCCAGCCCAUUUUUGUAUUUAGAGGAUUUAUCAAUGUUCCAUUAUUGUUUCUGCUUAAGCAUCGUUUGAAAUAAUAUUCUUGAUUGAAGCUAAUGCAAGCAAAAUGAUGAUUUCACAGGGAAUUCACUUCAUGUUAUCAUGUACAUCUUAAAAUAUUUUUUUCAUUUUUCUCUUUAUGAUGGGAAUCUGCUCUUGAUCAUAACUAUCACAUUGUUUUGGUCCCACCUUUGCGGUAUUAAGAGGUUGCCUGGGUUGCAGUGUUGCAAUCAUUAAUGUGCUUUGUAAUGUGGUUUUAUAUAUGGUGAUUCUGGUGCUUGCUAUUUUCAUUAGUCAAUGCAAUGGUAAAAAGUCUUGAGUUUGUAUCUCUAUUUUUGAAUUCUACCUUAAAGAAAUUAUAAUGGGGUAAUUGCCCUUUUGGUGUAAUUUAAUCAUGGCAUUUAUUGUCUCGGUCAAUAAUGCAUGAUGUCUGUAAUAUGUGUUUUGUUUCAAAUACUGUUAUUCCACUUGAGUACAGCAUCUUAUUUUUACCAGUUUGUCUGCUGUUUCUUACCCAUUUUGCAAGUGUGAGAUGUUUACCAGUUAUGGGAGGAUGCAAGGCCAACUUGUCCUGUUUGAUUUGCCAAAAUCCCAUAAAUAACUUAAUAAUUUAAGAUCAAAAUGCAUGCCUUUAAUUGCUUCUAUAUUGGGUUGUGUGAUGUCACGAUGACUCAAUAUUAGGUUUUACAAAUGAAGAUGAUGGAACUGGAAAUGAAAAGCAAAUCCCUGUUGGCCCUCGGUUAUCUAGUAAACAUGGUGCUGGUAUACUCAAGAAAGAGUUUAAUGGUGAGGCCCAAAAGGAAUCAGAACCAGCUGAUAUGCCAGAUUUUGUAUUAAAAUUCAAAUCAGUUUAUAGGUGUCGGAUUUGCCCCCGAAUUGUCUGUUUGACAGAACAGACUAUGAUGACUCACCUCAAUUCUAAGAGACAUGCACGAUCUGCGAAGCUACUGAAGGAAAAUAGGUUGAAGGCCAUGCUCAACAGUGAUGGGGAAAUAGAGAACCAGGAAACCCCAACAGAGAUGCAUAAUCGAAUUGUCGCUCUUGCAGAGAAUAAGUCAAAAAAGAAGAAUAAAGGGCGCCAACGACAAAAGAAGCGGUCAAGAACGAAGAAAGGGAGAGAGAUCUUAAAUAUGGAGAAAACGAGGGGUUCAACAAAAGCACCAGCCAAGAAAAGGCAUAAAAGUGAGAACUGAAGAAUGCUAUAUUCCAGUUUACUGUACUGUGAGGAGUGGAAGGAAAAAUCAAAAGUAAUUGCUCAGUAGUUUCUGCAAAGUAACUAUGAUGGGGGCAUCAAGUGUGGUUUUUGAAGUGGCCGCUCUCUUUUUCUAUUUUUCUGUUAAAAUUUCUUACCUGCAGGAAAUUUUGGUUUGUAGGACAUGUAUUUGUGGCAAGCUUUCAGUUUUUCAAGAGCACUGACUGUAUUUUUGCUCAACUAAUUAUGGGUUGAUCCAGAGAAUUAAUUGCAUUUCUUCUAAUUUACAUCAGUUAUGUUAAACAUUUCUGAGUAAAGAAUCCUUCCUUUCUUCUGAUUUGCAAGAAUAAAGCCCAAAGAAUUGAGAUUGAGUUAGAGCCCAUUCUUCACCCUCUGAAAUGCCUUUCCAAAUAAUUGUUAUCGGGCGG
rnacentral:misc_RNA from 1 species